rnacentral:lncRNA from 1 species
GUCAAUUUUACAGCAGCUGAGAAUGGGCAGGCCUUUGCCAAUGUCUGUGGAGUUUACCCCUUCACCAACUACUCCGUCCGGGUACGAGCCAAAUACCUCCUCAGCCAUUCCCUCCAAGGUGAUGGGAAUCCCUUCUGGAGCAACUGGAGCCCAGAGAGAUAUGUGAGAACCCUGCCUGCAGUUCCCUCCCGAGGACCGGCGCUCUGGAGGAAGUUCGGAAUCUCCGGUGCCGAUGGGAAGAGAGAUGUCAUCCUCAUGUGGAAGGUAAGAAAAGAAGCAAAGCAAAGAAGGGUAUGGAAAUCUGAUUGGGAGUCCCAUGUCCUUUCCUCUUACUUUUUUCCCCCUUGUUGUUGUUUAGUCGUUUAGUCGUGUCCGACUCUUCAUGACCCCAUGGACCAGAGCACGCCAGACCCUCCUAUCUUCCACUGCCUCCCAGAGCUGGGCCAAAUUCAUGUUGGUCGCUUCGAUGACACUGUCCAACCAUCUCAUCCUCUGUCGUCCCCUUCUCCUCUUGCCCUCACACUUUCCUAACAUCAGGAUCUUUUUUCCUAUUUAGCCCUUAAAACCAAAGGAAGCCAACGGCGAGAUCUUGAUCUACUCUCUCUUCUCUCAGCGAAAGGGGGAGUCUGCUGGUCCACAGUGUCUCACUCAAGAGUUGCAGUGCACUCUCCGACUCCUGAUGGGAGUGGGUUAUACUUUCUCCAUUACCGCAAGAAACAUAGCAGGUGUAUCCCCUGUUACCAGUCUCAUUGUCCUACCAUCUGAUGGCCAGGAAGAACUAUCCUCCACGUUCCCAGUUCUCGCGUCUCCAGCAACUGACCACAGCUUCCUCUUGCGGUGGUCCCUGCCUCAUUUCCCGGCGAUCAGAUAUGUUUUUGAAUGGGGCCGGUUACCCAGGAAAAAGGGUGAAGACGUUUUCUGGCAUGAUCACUCCGGGAACACCAACCACAUGGUAAUUGCAGGUGAGUGUUGGACAGGGGUGGAAGCGGUAUGGACAAAAAUCUGAUGGAUGUUUCCCUGCUUUGUCCUUUCUGCCUUUGUUCCUUUAUAAUAUUCCUUUAAUAUUCCCCAGCUUUACAGAUUCAGUUGUCUUUCUCUGCAGAGGCAAUCAUGCCAGGAAAUCUGUACAGCCUUAAGGUCUUUGUUCUCAUACAUGGCAACGUCUGGGCCUCCGGUUCUACCAGUGGUUAUUCAAAGCAGACGGGUAAGUGGGGCCAUCUUUCAUUGUUCCCUGUUUUCACUGUUCAGACUCUUGCUGAACC